GAUGAACGCUGGCGGCGUGCCUAAUACAUGCAAGUCGAGCGAACAGACAAGGAGCUUGCUCCUUUGACGUUAGCGGCGGACGGGUGAGUAACACGUGGGUAACCUAUCUAUAAGACUGGGAUAACUUCGGGAAACCGGAGCUAAUACCGGAUAACCUAUGGAACCGCAUGGUUCUAAAGUGAGAGAUGGUUUUGCUUUCACUUAUAGAUGGACCCGCGCCGUAUUAGCUAGUUGGUAAGGUAACGGCUUACCAAGGCGACGAUAGGUAGCCGACCUGAGAGGGUGAUCGGCCACACUGGAACUGAGACACGGUCCAGACUCCUACGGGAGGCAGCAGUAGGGAAUCUUCCGCAAUCGGCGAAAGCCUGACGGAGCAACGCCGCGUGAGUGAUGAAGGGUUUCGGCUCGUAAAACUCUGUUAUUAGGGAAGAACAAAUGUGUAAGUAACUGGGCACGUCUUGACGGUACCUAAUCAGAAAGCCACGGCUAACUACGUG
rnacentral:rRNA from 1 species